GUAUGGAGCAAGCGUUAUCCGGAUUUACUGGGUGUAAAGGGUGCGUAGGUGGCAGUGCAAGUCAGAUGUGAAAGGCCGGGGCUCAACCCCGGAGCUGCAUUUGAAACUGCUCGGCUAGAGUACAGGAGAGGCAGGCGGAAUUCCUAGUGUAGCGGUGAAAUGCGUAGAUAUUAGGAGGAACACCAGUGGCGAAGGCGGCCUGCUGGACUGUUAUUGACACUGAGGCACGAAAGCGUGGGGAGCAAACAGGAUUAGAUACCCUGGUAGUCCACGCCGUAAACGGUGAAUACUAGGUGUCGGGGCCGUAUAGGCUCCGGUGCCGCCGCUAACGCAGUAAGUAUUUCACCUGGGGAGU
rnacentral:rRNA from 1 species